GGGGAGGGUGAAAGGAGUCGCGGACCCGGCUGCUCAGCGGAGGAAACCCGGACCCCAGGCUGAGGGAGGCCGAAGAAGGAACUGAAGGGCCGGGCUGGGAAGGCCUGAAGCGAGUACAGCCUUUAGGCUGGAGAGGGUCGAGGGGAGAACUCGGAGCCUGAGUCGGGCGAGGUUUUGCUCCACUCUGGCUUCUAAGUGUGGGAGCCUCAGGAUGUGACCCGUGGUCGUAAACCUGAGGGUGACUUGGAGUUUUUGUCCGUUUUGCACCAUGAGAAAGGCCCCAAAUGGAAUCUGGCAGGUUUUAUACAUUACGAAGGCACGUUUCCAUUUCUCCUGGGCAAAUAUUUAGAAGAAAAGUUGCUGGGUAAUUGGUGGAGACAAGGUUUCGCCACAUUGACUGGGCUGGUCUCGAACUCCUGAGCUCAAGCAACCCGCCCUCCUUGACCUCCCAAAGUGCUAGGAUUACAGGUGUGAACCACCGUGCCCGGCCCUACUUUCUAUCGAAGUAGAAUAGGAAAGCACUGGAGAAGAGAGAAGACAAGAGAAACAGGUCCAUGGUGACAGGAGCCUAGGAAUAGAGCAGGCCUUCAGUCUUGGUGAAAAAAUAAAUGGUAUUCUAAGCCUUCCUUUGGACAUUAAUUCAGUACUACCCACUCUUUUUCUCUUGUCCAUUCC
rnacentral:lncRNA from 1 species